CACUCUAGAGAGACUGCCAGGGAUAACCUGGAGGAAGGUGGGGAUGACGUCAAAUCAUCAUGCCCCUUAUGCUUAGGGCUACACACGUGCUACAAUGGGUAGUACAGAGGGUUGCCAAGCCGUAAGGCGGAGCUAAUCCCUUAAAGCUACUCUCAGUUCGGAUUGUAGGCUGAAACUCGCCUACAUGAAGCUGGAGUUACUAGUAAUCGCAGAUCAGAAUGCUGCGGGGAAUGCGUUCCCGGGUCUUGUACACAC
rnacentral:rRNA from 1 species